rnacentral:lncRNA from 1 species
UUGAGACGUGCUAUGGGAAACCUGUGGGGAGUUCAGAAGCAGAACAAAGUCUGUUCACAACAUCUAUAGAAUGUCUAUCGCUAUGUGCACAAAGAACAUAAAAAAGGGGCAUACCCAGUACAAGAACAUCAAAAUAAUAAUAUAAAAAAAUCAGUACUAGAUGUAGGGCAAGAAAAAUGAUGCCAAAACAACAACCAUGAUGACAUAACAUGCUAGAGAGAAAAGAACAAACAUACCUUGCAAUGUCAGGAGACUUCAUAAGCUUCGAAAGAGCUUCGACGACAACGAGUGAUUGUGCUCGGCAAGAACCUGAAACCACAUAAGUUUCAUGAGUCGAUUGAAAUCAACUUUGAGAACCUGCAUGCUCUGGAAGUUUGAAAGCAGUACCUUUUGGAACUUUCUAGCCUCACAGAUCACUUAAGUUGUUCUAAGAUGAGUCGGUUGAUACCAUAAAACUCAAACCACAUUGCCAGAAGAGCACAAAUCAGUAACUAUGACAAAUCCCUCUAAGGAUUCCAAGGGCAUGCUACACAUCUCAAAACUGCCAAUCUCCACUUGAACUCCUCGGCAUAUGAAAUUAUAGAACCACAUAGUUACAUGUCCUACCAUAGUUCAGUUUACUAGGGAAAAUUAUGGAACAGAAGGUACAGUUUGUGCAUCCCAAGAACAUAACUAUACUUUAAUAGCAAGAUACGCUGUUACAUGUAGCCCAUUUCUUCGCCUCACCAAAUUCAUGAGCAUCUUAGCCAAGUUUGGUCCAAUGUCUGAACUAUCUCCAAAUUCUUCAAUCUCCU